GACGAACGCUGGAGGCGUGCUUAACACAUGCAAGUCGAACGAUGAAAUGGAGCUUGCUCCAUGGAUUAGUGGCGAACGGGUGAGUAACACGUGAAUAACCUGCCCUUAAUUUUGGAAUAACCCAGGGAAACCUGGGCUAAUACCGGAUAAGUAAACCUGUGGCAUCACAUGGUUUUGGAAAGUUUUUCGAUUAAGGAUGGAUUCGCGGCCUAUCAGCUUGUUGGUGAGGUAAUGGCUCACAAAGGCGACGACGGGUAGCUGGCCUGAGAGGGUGAACGGCCACACUGGGACUGAGACACGGCCCAGACUCCUACGGGAGGCAGCAGUGGGGAAUAUUGCGCAAUGGACGAAAGUCUGACGCAGCGACGCCUCGUGAGGGACGAAGGUCUUCGGAUCGUAAACCUCUUUCAGCAGGGACGAAGCGAAAGUGACGGUACCUGCAGAAGAAGCACCGGCUAACUAUGUGCCAGCCGCCGCCGUAA
rnacentral:rRNA from 1 species